GCUAGAACUGUCUGCAACAUGUGUGGCUCACUAGGAUUGAUUCAGCUGGUCUGGCUGGUUAUACAGGUGUCCCAUCCUCCCUGCAUACCCUCCCGAAGGUGAGUGCUCAGCAGAAGAGGAUAACCACCCCUGAUAGAGGAAGAUCCCUCUCCCAUCAAGGGUACAUGAGGCUGUGCUCCCCAGCUGGAACCUCCAAACAAGCCCUUCAGGCUCCCUCUAGCAGCUCAAAUCAGCUUCAAACACCAUGUGAUUUGUUU
ensembl:misc_RNA 7SK 7SK RNA